rnacentral:rRNA from 1 species
UACGUAGGGUGCAAGCGUUGUCCGGAAUUAUUGGGCGUAAAGAGCUUGUAGGCGGCUCGUCGCGUCGACCGUGAAAACCUGCAGCUUAACUGUGGGCUUGCGGUGGAUACGGGCAGACUUGAGUUCGGUAGGGGAGACUGGAAUUCCUGGUGUAGCGGUGAAAUGCGCAGAUAUCAGGAGGAACACCGGUGGCGAAGGCGGGUCUCUGGGCCGAUACUGACGCUGAGGAGCGAAAGCGUGGGGAGCGAACAGG